GUUAGUGAAAUUGUAUUUAAAACUCGAGUUUGAUUCCCUUCUCUUGCAUCAUUUUUAUUAUUUUCCAAAUUUUGCUUCAAACCCUAGUAAGUGUCAUGACUUGUUUUAAAAUAAAUGUUUUGUUAACUGCAUUUUUGCCCAAAACCUAGGGUGUCGCCCCUUGCAUAGAAACCCUAAUAUAUAACAUAUUUUUUUGUUAUUUUUAGCCUCUUUUGAUCAUUUUUGCUCUCUUAUUGUCGCCCCUAUCAUUUUUUCCUCUCUUCCUCCUUACUUCUUAUUUGUGUCGUACCAUUGUUCAUAUUCUCCUCUUGUUUUUCUAUUUUUUGUUCAUCUCUUCUCCUAUCUCUUUGGUUGAAUUUUUGCUACUGAUUUUUCUUCUAUUGUCACACCCUUUUUUCCCACUUUUCUUUCAUUUUUGUUGCUGAAAUCAGCCUCCUAUCUUGGCCGACUGAAGUGUUCAUCCAUUUUCUAUUGAUUCGUUAUUCCAAAUCUAGAAACUUGGAGGUGUCUAGUUCUGAAUCCCUCAGAUCUCUAGUGAAGUUUGAGCCCAUUCAUAUUUUUGUCUAAUCAGUAGAAGUGUAAGUGAUCUCGAAAGCUCAGAUAUGAAGUUUGGGUUGUUUCUUUGAUUUAGCUGGACCCUAUAAGAUGGUUAAGGGUUGAAUUUUAAUGUUCGUUCUCUAUGCUGGGUACAUAUCUGGGAGGUGUCGAUUCAAAUCUAAAUUGUAGAGGUGUUCUGGACAAUUGUUAAUGCUUUUCGGAUGUGCAUUGAGGCGUGUGUCCUAUUCAUGAGUGAAUCAUGUGAUUUGGUGAUAAUCGAAUGCAUGUGUAUAUAAAUCAUGUUGAACCGAAUUUUUUUGUGUGUACCCUUAAGCUUUGUCGAAUGUAUAGUGUCCUCUGAAGUGGCCAAAUGUGAUGUGUGUUAAUUUGGGGUGCUUGCCGAAUGUAUUUAUGUUUAUUUUGUAGUCGGUCGAAUGUGCCUAAAGGUUUGUCUGCUAUGACUGAGUAUGUAUAGAAUACUAAUGUAUGAUAUGGAAUUGUUAUCACAUGUUUACUGAAUGCAUGAGGACAUGUUGUUGCUUCUGUGUCUAUUGAUUGCAUGACUGAAAGCAUGCCAUUGUUUUUUAUAUUUAUCGAAUGCAUGAAAGGAAUGCCACUGCCACUGAUUUAUUGAUCGCAUGUUAAAACAUGCCACGGUUCUGCAUUGUAUCUGAUUCUGUCAUGCAUGUUAUGACAUUCUAUUGCGUGGGGUUGGGAAGAUUGGUAACAGAGGAGUUCUACGGAGUUCUAGCAGUUUAUCCGCAAUAUAGGAGUUCUGGCGGUUCGUCCACAAACCUUUUACUAGUGAUUUAACUGUAAAUUACUGGCUACUGGUGGUUUGUCCACAAUGAGCUACGACUCUUACUAUUAUGGUGUGUACGGAUGGAUGAGUUCUAAAUAACUCAUGGUGUGUAACGGAUGGAUGGGGAGGAAAUUGCACUGACAUUCAUGGACAUGUACAUACAUUUUGAGAACUCUGUGAUUCUGUAUAUUCUGAAACACUGUGAUCUCUGACACUGUCAUUACUGUUAUCUUUGUUUACUUUCAUGCUUUUGUGAUCUUUGGUAUUCUGAUUUCUUAUGAAUAAGACUCACAUUGAGCUUUCAAGUUCA